AUAUAAAUAACAGUGGUACCAUUUUAAAAGGAACUAUAGAUGGCGAAAUACUAACACUAAUGUGUAAAGUCGAUAUGCUUGAAUCGUAUAUAAAAAUCAUCAAUCCAAACGGAUCAGUUGUUGGUAGCUGCUUGCCACCUAUUCAUACUCGAUCAUUUGGUGUAUGUACAAAUAGGAUGACACAGUUCUUAGAUUCCAACCGAACAAUAAUGACAAUAAAUAUUUUUAGCGAUAAUUAUAUUGGUGGUACGUGGAUAUGUAUUCAUGGUAGUAAUGCAUCAAAAGAUACUUUUAUUGUUGAAGACAUCAAUGCAGAAAAAAACUCUUUCGGGGCUUGUGAAAAGACUGGAGCAAAUGAGCAAAAUUACAAAAUUCUGUUCAUCAUAUUCUGUGUUAUCGCCAGCGUGUCUCUUAUUGCAGCAUCGACAUAUUUUAUGAAAAAAAGACACAAAUCAAAGAAAAAGACGGAGGAAAAUUGCGGAUUCAAAAAUCUAGCUUAUGAAGAGUAAACUGUAUGUAGUAAGUGUCCAUCAUAGAGUUGCGAGACAACUUACUAGUACAUAUACUAGUAGUUUCCUACAUGUACAUGCACGUACUUCUCUAGUUAAGAGUUUUAGUACCACUUUCACUGUUUGUAUGAUCUGUAUAUUGAUCAAUAUUUUCUAUUUUAUGUGAAAUUGAGCCUCAAAACACUGGUGCAAAUAAUAUGUUGCAUUACAAAAGUUUAAAUUAUUUUAAAUCAGGACAGAGAAAGAUAGUUAAAAGACCACAUUGACACAGCUUUUAAUCAUCUGUUAAACAUGUUUAAAGGUACAUGACUGAGAGCUAAAUUUAGAAAAAAAAAAAU